UAUAAGGGAGUGUGCUGGGGGCAGAGAAGAAGGAAGGGAAGAAAAGAGAGAUUGCUGCUUGCAUGUAGAAAGAAAGGUUCCUGAAUAAACUGCUUUGAGAAGAACGUCGUGGUGUUGUUCCUUUCUGCGGGACGGAGACGGAAAUGACAAGUGGUGGCCUGUACGGGGAAAUUCAUUCAGAACUCAUUGCAGUCAGGGUGGCUAGCCGGUAAGUUCCCAGGUAAGUGGGACAAGUCGCAAAGCUCUCAGAUUGAGACUAUAAGGUUCCCGGUUUUGGGACGAGGGUUAAGUUCUCAGAUUGAGACCAUAAGGUUCCCGGUUUUGGGACAAGUCACACCAAGCACAAUGGGGAACUCAACAUCAGCUCAGACAGUUCGACAAGCCCUCAAGGAUUUGUUAAAAGCGAAAGGAAUCGGGCUAAAGAAAGAAAUAGUAGAGAAUUUUUUGUUGUUGUUGUUCUUUUUUUCAGAGCUGGGGACCGAACCCAGGGCCUUGCGCUUCCUAGGCAAGCGCUCUACCACUGAGCUAAAUCCCCAACCCCGAGAAUUUUUUAAAAGCAAUGAACCAGGUUGCUCCGUGGUUUCCGGUGACAGGACAUCUUACAAUGCCCAGUUGGAAGAAAUUAGGGAAAGAUUUGAGGUUUGCCGAGGAGCAGGGGGUUUUACCAAAAGGAGUGCUGCCAGUGUGGAAAUUAGUGAGAAAUCGCACAGGGGAUGAGGAAAGGUGUGGCUCGGAGCUCCAAAAGGGAAAUGAGGCACUAAAUCAGGUUAGGGAGGAAUGUUCUCAAAAAAUCAGAGACCGAGGGAAAUGCUAGCAAGGGGGAAAUGUCGGAAGACGAUAUGGAAAGCAUCACUGACAGCUUAGAGAAAGUGAAACUAAAGGUAGAACCAUCGGCUCCGGGGCCACCUCAUCCGCCUCUGUACGCUCCAGGCAGGGCAGAGGGACGUGGCUUACACCUGGAAAUCUGGAGAGUUUUUGGCAUUACUGCAGCCAUUGUUACUGCUAUAGCAGUUUCUGCUGCCGCCGCAGCCAUUGCUGCGGCCAUAUCCCUUACCGCCAUAGUACAGACUGCGGUAGCUGUAAGUAAUUUAUCCGCAGGUGUUGCAGAAGCUUUAGAUGUUCAGGGUAAUAUUAAUAGUCAGUUGAAAGCGGGAAUUUUGCUGCUGUAUCAAAGGGUCGAUUUGCUCCAGGAACAAGCGAAUAUUAUGAUGGGGUUAAUGCAAUUGGGUUGUGAGUGGAAAUAUUCAGGACUGUGUGUCACUUCCAUACCAUUUGUGAAUGUCAGUCAUGCUGCUCAGAUAUCCCGUAAUAUAUCUCAGUAUCUUACAGGAAUUUGGUCUCAACACUUUGAUGGACUAGUUCAGGAAUUGAGACAAUCCAUCGUCCAUAUCAACUCCACUCGAGUGGACGGUCACCGUGGAAGUGGUGGGAAAGGGGAAGUUUAAAGGUGUCGGCUGGAAUUACUGGAUCACAAAGUCUGCUGCAGCACGAAGAGCCCUCUGUAGCCUCAAAGCUAACCAGCCUCUGGUUCCUAACAGCUGAAGCUUCCAGACUUACAAGCGGCAAGGCAGUGAACCAGAACCGUAGCAGCACACCACAAAGGAUGAUUCAAGCCAACACAGAGCAUGUCCUUAGCUGGAGGACUGGCCGAUUAGAUUGCCGCCAUUGCCUCACGGCUGAAAGAAUGGGCUGGACUUGCUGGACUUGCCCUAUGACUGAUUCUUAUUAGCGUCCUGGCCUUUUGGUGCAUGUGCUGUAUACAGUUUUGUCAGCAUGGAACUCAAGCCUUAAUGAUACAGGCUUUUGUAGCAGUGGAGACAGGACAGUCUCCUCAAGUAUGGCUUGGCAUGCUAGAGAAGUAGUCAAUGAUGGGUAAGACUCCCUGGGCGUGUCACCAACCUAAGACAGGGAUCAAACCUAAGCUGUUUGUCUCCCGAUGACAGACGGGUAAGGGGCAUUGCUGCAGGGGGCAACCUAAGACAGGCAUUCUCUCUGCCAAAAACAUAAAGAAGGGGGAGAUGUGGGGAGCGGGUGUGGCGGCAGUCCCAAGAUGGCGCCUGGGACUGCAGCUAAGUCUCAUGACUAGCACCUGACUUCCUCACACACCUGAAACUAGCCAUCCAUUGUGAGAGCUGCGCAGGCGCACCAUGACACAAGAUCAGGCCAUGUGACGUGGACCUAUGAACUGAGACUACGCAGUCUGGACUGAGGAGGCGGAGUUGAGGGAGGAUAUAAGGGAGUGUGCUCGUGGGCUGUGUGGAGAAAAGGGAAGAAAAGAGAGAUUGCUGCUUGCAUGCAGAAAGAAAGGUUCCUGAAUAAACUGCUUUGAGAAGAACACUGUGGUGCCGCUCCUUUCUGCAGGACGGAGACGGAGACAACACAAGAUCUUGCUAUUCAACCCACCAUCCCCACUUCAGCCUUGCCAACAUGGGAUUGCAGGUAACACAAGACUGUGUUUUGAGGAAUCGUUUCUGCAGUCCACUAAGUCAAUCAGCACACCACGAUUCCCAUAUGGUAACAUAAAUCAAUAAAUAAAUAAGAAUUAAUCAGACUUUCAUCUUGAGCUUUAAACAAUAGAAAUAUCUUUAAACCGAAGCUGAAGUUAACCUGCCGUGUUCUGAGAAUAACAGACGCCGUGAGCCAGAGUACGGGAGAGUUCAGACAUCAUCAAUAGAACCAGCAGGAAUAGCUGUGCUUGGUGAUGUGCUGUCUGCACGCUGACCUGGAAAUCAAUUGGCUCUAACUGGAGCUUCACUAUCAAGGUCACCAGUUUCUCUUCUACUACAGAAAAUGACCCCUAAUCAUGUCAAGAAGUUCCUGCUUUGUAAGUUGUGGUUAGCCAUCUUAGAGGCUUAGACUCCCAUCAGAACGUGGGGCUGGGCUAUAGCUCCGUGGUCAAGCACUUGCCUAGCACACGUGAGGCCCCGAGUUCAGUUCCUGGUACUGCAAGAAAGAAGAUGUACUCUAAAACAGAUGUGCCUGUUUCAAAGGCAAACGGAAAAUUGUUUUUUAAAUGUCGAUCUUCCAGUGUAAGUCUGCUCUUGGAUUCUAAAAUUGUGUUUUACAUAUACAGUCCUGUGUCUAUGUUUAUGCUUGAAAAGUACCACCCAGAAGAAGAAGACAGUAUCAUUGGCCAAACAGGACAUGCACUUAUCUUUUAGUUAUGUCCUUAAGGUCUGUGGGUGAACCGAAGGGGAAGAGGCCCAGGCAGUUGAGCACAGCUCCUACCUCCAUUGGAGUCUUUAACUGAUGAGGAUGAUUUCAGGGUAUAUACAAUAGCCACCCACCCAGUGAGUCUAGAGAUAUAGGAACUGGAUUAAUUUCUCACCCAAGUUCCACUGAGCUCAAAACUCAGGACAUAAUGCAGAUCUUUUUAUUUAAGUAGUGUGUAACUUUCAUUUUUUAAAAAUCUUAUUUUUAAUGAUGGUUCUUAAAUGCUUUAACCUUCCUCGUAACCCAUCACCCACCAGAGGGUAGUGGAAAAGAAAGAAUAUAGGGGAAGUGGGCCUCUCUGGAGCGACUCCCAUAUGUGAUGUCUGGAAACCAACAGUUCAGCCCACAGGUUAGCAGGCAGUGGCAGCUUGAUCUACUCACAAACACCUCACAGCUACACCAGCAAUCCAGUUCAGGACAGUCAGGUUGGCAACAGUGGUGACACGAUCUAGCAGAGACAGCCAGACUUCAGGCUCGGUGCAAGUAGCAGGAGGGGCCCAGGGGGAUAGCAGGAGUUCUAAGCUGUCUUUCUCAGGAAAACGAAGAUCAUCAAAGAGGCAAAGGCCACAAGCACUGCACAGCUAGCUGUACCAGCAAGCCAAGCUCUGUCUCCGUCACUCUGUGGAGUCCUAUGUAUACCCUCCAAACAUCACGUGUCCUCUACAUGCCUUGCCUCAGCGUCUGAUUAGCCCGAUUCCCAGGAAGCAGCAACGAACUGCAGCAUACCACAGAAGGUUUUUGGCGGACUCUCUCUAUGGCAUCUCAACAAAUGCAGCUCAACUACAAAAUGUAAGGAGGACCAAUACGUGCAUGUCAUUAGUAAAGAAUCCUUUAUCACGUGUCCUUUAUUUAGCAGAACGUGCUUGCUUUAGCAGAGCUUUUUCUCUCCCGUGUCUGUUUCAGUGCAACAUUCUUCUACCAGUUGACCUUAGCCUUUCACGCCUGUGUCCAUUUUACCAAAACAUUCCUUCAUGUGUUUGCCCCAGCAAAACACCAUUCCAAAAACCCUUUAAAUUUCCACUUCAGUGGUGUUAAGGCUUGAAUGUGCCCACCUGCUCCCACAAGUUAGAAAUCGAAUCCCCAAUACAACAGUGUUGAGUGAGGGCUGGUGGGAGAUGUCUAGAUCACAAGGCCCCUGCUUCAUGAUAUGCAAGUAUAUGAAUAUGUUAUUAAAAGGCUUCGGAGUUGGGAAGACGGCUCAGCUGGUGCAAUGCUUGCUAUGCACACAUGAGGACCUGAGUUCAGAUCUUCAGAGCUUUGUAAGGGAGGAAGCUGAGCUCACUUGCAAUCCCAGAGGUGGAUGUGGAGAUGGAAGGUUCCCUCGAGCUUCCUGGCCAGCCAGGCUGGUCCACAGUUGUAUGAGAGACAUUCCUUGUCUGUAAAAAAGUAGAGUAGAAAACCAACUAAGGACAACACCUGUCUUAGUCAGGGUUCCAUUGCUCUAAAGAGAUACCUUGACCACAGCAAUUCUUAUAAAUGAAAACGUUUAAGAGAGGCUGGCCUACAAUUCAUAAAUUUAGACCAUUGUUGUCAUGGUGGGAGCAUGGCAACAUACAGGCAGAUAUGGUGCUGGUGAAAUAGCUAAGAGUUGUACAUCUGGACCAGCGGGCAGUAGGAAGAUACAGACAAUGGGGCAGGCUUUGACUUUAGAAACCUCUAAGUCCACCUCCAGUGACACACUUCCUCCAACAAGGCCACACCUCCCAAUUCCUCCCAAUAGUGACACUCUCUAAUGGCCAGGCAUUCAAAUAUAUGAGCCGUUGGGAGCCAUUCUUAGUCAAACCACUUCAAAACCCUGAUGUCAACCUCUGGCCUUCAGGUGCAAACACACACACACACACACACACACACACACACACACACACACACACACGGGGCGGGUAAGGCUGAGGGUUUCAUCAUGGGAUGAAAGGCAUAAGGUCAGAGUUCACAAAUGUGAGGCCAGGAUCUUAAGAGCCCCCCCAGCAUGCUGAACAGAAAUAAAUACCGUCUGUCUAUAAA